GGCGUUUUCAGUUUUCAAGAACUUCAAUGAAAAGUUCAAGUGGAGGCACAGAAGACAGGGCUUUUGUUUGGGCUGUUCAGGACUAACACUGCAAAUAAAUGCCAGCAGAGAAACUGCAUUCAGCAUGAAGAACAGUAUUGGCUUAACCAGGGAUGGACCUCCAAA
rnacentral:lncRNA from 12 species